GCUGGGCACGGUGGCACGUGCCUGCAGUCGCAGCUACUCAGGAGGCUGAGGUGGGAGGAUCGCUUGAGCCCAGUUCUGGGCUGUAGUGCGCUAUGCCGAUCAGGUGUCCGCACUAAGUUUGGCAUCAAUAUGGUGACCUCCCGGGAGCGGGGGACCACCAGGUUGCCUAAGGAGGGGUGAACCAGCCCAGGUUGGAAAUGAAGCAGGUCAAAACUCCCGUGCUGAUCAGUAGUGGGAUCACACCUGUGAAUAGCCACUGCCCUCCAGCCUAGGCAACAUAGCAAGACCCUGCCUCU
rnacentral:SRP_RNA from 1 species